rnacentral:rRNA from 1 species
CCUACGGGCGGCAGCAGUAAGGAAUAUUGGUCAAUGGGCGGAAGCCUGAACCAGCCAAGUCGCGUGAAGGAAGAAGGAUCUAUGGUUUGUAAACUUCUUUUAUAGGGGAAUAAAGGUAUCCACGUGUGGAUAUUUGCAUGUACCCUAUGAAUAAGCAUCGGCUAACUCCGUGCCAGCAGCCGCGGUAAUACGGAGGAUGCGAGCGUUAUCCGGAUUUAUUGGGUUUAAAGGGUGCGUAGGCGGGCUUUUAAGUCAGCGGUAAAAAUUCGGGGCUCAACCCCGUCCGGCCGUUGAAACUGGGGGCCUGGAGUGGGCGAGAAGAAGGCGGAAUGCGUGGUGUAGCGGUGAAAUGCAUAGAUAUCACGCAGAACCCCGAUUGCGAAGGCAGCCUUCCGGCGCCCUACUGACGCUGAGGCACGAAAGUGCGGGGAUCGAACAGGAUUAGAUACCCGUGUAGUC